rnacentral:antisense_RNA from 1 species
CGUGCUGCUCCUGCUUCAGGCGAUGACGUCGGGAAUGCUCAUCGACUUGAGCGCGAAGAAAUGCUUGUCCGUCUUCUCCUUCACCGGGUACACCCGCCCGAACGUCCCCGUGCCCACGGUGGCCAGCGUGUGGAAGUCCCGCAGGCGCUGAUUCACAACUCAAGUAGCACAGUGAGGGUGGACAAUUGGGACUGCCUAAGCAUCCCAGCAUCGCCUGUUCUACAUAUCACUGUUCCCAGUGGCGUGCUGCUGUGUUUGUGAAUCCAGCCUCCCACAGUGGGUAUGUCACCAUUGACCUAUAACAAUUGGAAUGACACAUCUUCACUAGAGGCAGGCCUUGGCCAUCCUCCACAGCAGACUAUUAAGUAACAAAAUAAGCAGUACUAUUUCUUUUCUUCUUAUUAUGCUGUUUAAAAAAAAAGCCUCUGAUGAAAUCCUGGUGGCUGCUUCUCUGUUCUUACCAAUCCAGGAAGUGUAGAGAGCUGUUGAGCCCUGUUUCCAAAUCCCCAGGUGAAGCUGCGCUGACAGGCCUUCUGUCCAUACAGCCCUUUCCAAGACUCAGCUAUUUGUGAUCACCCCCAAAUGUUACCCUGAUUCUAUUACCAAUUUGUAAUAAAACUCACUUGUAUGGUG